CCCUUAGAUGUUCUGGGCCGCACGCGCGCUACACUGAUGCAUUUAACGAGUCUAAAACCUGCUCUGAUAGGGGUGGGUAAUCUUUUGAAUGUGCAUCGUGAUUGGGAUAGAUGAUUGCAAUUUUUCAUCUUCAACGAGGAAUGCCUAGUAAACGCAAGUCAUCAGCUUGCAUUGAUUACGUCCCUGCCCUUUGUACACACCGCCCGUCGCUCCUACCGAUUGAAUGAUCCGAUGAAUAUCAUGGAUUGAGGAUGCAAGCAGGUUCGCCUGUCUUCAUCUUCGAGAAGUGAAGUAAAUCUUAUCAUUUAGAGGAAGGAGAAGUCGUAACA
rnacentral:rRNA from 1 species